UACGUAGGGUGCGAGCGUUGUCCGGAAUUAUUGGGCGUAAAGAGCUCGUAGGCGGCUUAGCAAGUCGGGUGUGAAAACUCCAGGCUCAACCUGGAGACGCCACUCGAGACUGCUAUGGCUAGAGUCCGGUAGGGGACCACGGAAUUCCUGGUGUAGCGGUGAAAUGCGCAGAUAUCAGGAGGAACACCGGUGGCGAAGGCGGUGGUCUGGGCCGGCACUGACGCUGAGGUGCGAAAGCGUGGGGAGCAAACAGG
rnacentral:rRNA from 1 species